AGCGAACGCUGGCGGCAGGCUUAACACAUGCAAGUCGAGCGGGCAUCUUCGGGUGUCAGCGGCGGACGGGUGAGUAACGCGUGGGAACGUGCCUUCUGGUUCGGAAUAACUCAGGGAAACUUGAGCUAAUACCGGAUACGCCCUUUUGGGGAAAGGUUUACUGCCGGAAGAUCGGCCUGCGUCUGAUUAGCUAGUUGGUGGGGUAACGGCCUACCAAGGCGACGAUCAGUAGCUGGUCUGAGAGGAUGAUCAGCCACACUGGGACUGAGACACGGCCCAGACUCCGACGGGAGGCAGCAGAGGGGAAUAUUGGACAAUGGGGGCAACCCUGAUCCAGCCAUGCCGCGUGAGUGAUGAAGGCCUUAGGGUUGUAAAGCUCUUUUAUCCGGGACGAUAAUGACGGUACCGGAGGAAUAAGCCCCGGCUAACUUCGUGCCAGCAGCCGCCGUAA
rnacentral:rRNA from 1 species